GUCGUGCGCCGGCGCGCGUGUCGGGUGCCCCUCAGGGGCAGGCUCCGGAACGAGGUCGGAGGGCAGAGCCUGCGGGAGCGGCCCCGGGUCCAGGACGGCUGCCGACGCGUGGUCCGGGUCCGUGAGGAGCCCUGGGGGCCCGGCCCGGCGCUCCGGUCCUCGUCCACUGGGCUCCUCACGGGGGAUGACCCCCAGCGAGGUGCCUGCGCCUACGUCCGGGGCGGACCCUGCAGGUUUUCUAUCUGAUGUUCCACCGUAAUAAUGCUGGAGUUAAGAAGUCUCCGUUUCUUUGCUCCAAACCGGAAGACUUUGUUUCCUGCAUAUAGAGUAGGAGUAAUGUUGGUUAGAAACUGGCUGGUGUUUAAAGGUGAAGAUUGUCUUGACUGUUUAACCUAAGCCCUAUUCUGAAGUAAAAAUAACUGUCUUGGAAAUACUAAGUUGGGGUAAC
rnacentral:lncRNA from 1 species